GAUCGGGCUCGCCACUCUUGGAUCGGAACCCGUCGGCCUCCGAACG
rnacentral:misc_RNA from 1 species